UACAGAGGUCCCAAGCGUUGUUCGGAUUCACUGGGCGUAAAGGGUGCGUAGGUGGUGAGGUAAGUCGGAUGUGAAAUCUCCGAGCUCAACUCGGAAAUGGCAUUGGAAACUACCUUGCUCGAGGGUUGGAGGGGGGACUGGAAUGCUUGGUGUAGCAGUGAAAUGCGUAGAGAUCGUAAGGAAGGCCAGUGGCGAAGGCGAGUCCCUGGACAACACCUGACACUGAGGCACGAAAGCUAGGGGAGCAAACAGG
rnacentral:rRNA from 1 species